GACGAACGCUGGCGGCGUGCCUAAUACAUGCAAGUCGAACGCAUUUUCUUUCACCGUAGCUUGCUACACCGAAAGAAAAUGAGUGGCGAACGGGUGAGUAACACGUGGGUAACCUGCCCAUCAGCGGGGGAUAACACUUGGAAACAGGUGCUAAUACCGCAUAAUUCCAUUUACUGCAUGGUAGAUGGAUGAAAGGCGCUUUUGCGUCACUGAUGGAUGGACCCGCGGUGCAUUAGCUAGUGGGUGGGGUAACGGCCUACCAAGGCUGCGAUGCAUAGCCGACCUGAGAGGGUGAUCGGCCACACUGGGACUGAGACACGGCCCAGACUCCUACGGGAGGCAGCAGUAGGGAAUCUUCGGCAAUGGACGCAAGUCUGACCGAGCAACGCCGCGUGAGUGAAGAAGGUUUUCGGAUCGUAAAACUCUGUUGUUAGAAAAGAACAAGGAUGAGAGUGGAAAGUCCAUCCCUUGACGGUAUCUAACCAGAAAGCCACGGCUAACUACGUG
rnacentral:rRNA from 1 species